rnacentral:rRNA from 1 species
CGGACGGGUGAGUAACGCGUGAGUAACCUGCCUUUCAGAGGGGGAUAACGUUCUGAAAAGAACGCUAAUACCGCAUAACAUCAAUUUAUCGCAUGAUAGGUUGAUCAAAGGAGCAAUCCGCUGGAAGAUGGGCUCGCGUCCGAUUAGCCAGUUGGCGGGGUAACGGCCCACCAAAGCGACGAUCGGUAGCCGGACUGAGAGGUUGAACGGCCACAUUGGGACUGAGACACGGCCCUGACUCCUACGGGAGGCAGCAUG